UUUGUACUCCCUUCGUUCCGAAUUACUCGUCGCAGAAAUGGAUGUAUCUAGAUGUAUUUUAGUUCUAGAUACAUUCAUCUCUGCGACUAGUAAUUUGGAACAAAGAGAGUACAUA
rfam:Triticum aestivum genome assembly, contig: Triticum_aestivum_CS42_TGACv1_scaffold_211026_3AS